rnacentral:lncRNA from 1 species
CUCAUACUGAAUUUCUAGCUAGCAACUGAUGAUGCUGCUCACAUCUGAUACUGAUUGGCUCCCAAGCACUGACUUUACUCAACACAGCACCAAAGCAGUGAAUCCCCUGGUCCCGCUGACCUGGGUGUAGACAGAGACGGGACAUAGAUUCCAGGGUGGGAGACCACCAUCCAAUCCUCCACCAUGAUGGGUCCCUGGCUCCCCAGAGGCUCCUGUGUGGCAGCUGUGGUCCUGACCCUGAUGGCCCUGAGCCCUCGGGUGGCUUUGGUCAGGGACCCCAGAUGCACUUCUGAAGACACAUGGGUGGGACACGUCAGCUGUGAGGAAUGAGUAGCACGGAGUUCAUGGGAAAUUUCCCACUUUCAUUCUCAUUAUAACACAUCCCCAGGAUGGCUGCACCCAGGUCCCCAGGCUGCCCCCAGGAUGGACUGCCUGCUGGUCACCAGGCUGGACCCUAGUACAGUCCACACCCUGGUCCCCAGGAUGGUGCUGUUUAUCAGGUUGUGGAAGUAUUAGAAAGUCCAGCUUGAAAAAUCCCGACUUGAAGUUUAUGUUCUGGCACUACACUCUGUGUUCUCAAGGUUUCUUGUUCUGAACAGACUUGAGAUGGGAGCCCCAUCUGGCAUGGCCCCCACCACCAUGGAGAUUCCUGCUGCCUUGCAAUCCUGGUCCUGAUGGAAUGUAUCCCUUCAGAACCUGAGCCAGAUAAAUGAUUCUGGCCUGUGUUUUUCUCAUCCCUUUGGAUGAGGUUUUAGGGCUGUGCACAAUGCCACCUGCACAGAAACUGUUUAUUUCCAGUUCUUUAUGAAACAUGCCCAGAUAUAGUGUUAUAAACUCAUGGAAUAAGAUCACAGUGUCAUUUUACUUUUGUUCAAUCUAGUAUUUUAGUUGCUAUAAUUUUACAAUGUCAAGGUUUGCCUUUCUUGGGUCAUUUCAUAGUAAUUCAGUUAAGAAAACUGGUUGUGGGCUGGAUGAUGGUAGCACAUGUCUUAAUCCCAG